UUGAUAUGCCAUUUGUUUUCAAUUAGACUUGCAUGUGUUAACCUCACACUAUAUUUAAUUUGUAAUUGUUUCGACUGUUUAAGAUAAUUAAUUUUCUGUCAAUACAAGUUAAACUAAUAACAAUUUAGUUCUUUCAAUUUUCAAUUGUUACACAGAAUUGACAUGUAACAUGAUUACAUUGAUUCUUUGGGAUUUUGUUAAACAUUUGGCAAAAAUCAUAAAUUUAUUUUUCAACAACCCCUUUUCAGGUUACAAUUAUUAACCGCAUUUUUUUCAACAACAAAGUGUUGCUAUUAUUUUUCUAAUUAUCUUUAAAUUGGUUUAGUAAAAGUGAAAAGGUAAAAAGAUUAAAGUUAAAUGAUGUACUGGACGUUAAUGGACGAUGUUAGCUAAAUGUGGAUUCUCACCUUAACCAGUUUCAAUAUGUUACCUUUUCACCUUUCCAAUUAACCAUAAUCCUCCGCCUUCAUCAAUACACCUAAUUCAUCCUCAUCAUCCCUCCCUCCUCCUCCCCACAACAGCAACUUGAACAUGAACAUGGACAACAACAAAGGCAACAACAACGAUCAUUCCUGUGCUUUACAACAUAUAAACAAGUUAAAUUAAUUGUACCCAACUAAAUAGGAACCAAAAGUCAAACUUUGGCCUGACCUGACUUAUCUUACCUUGUCCACACCUAUUUUCUCGGGACUUUUUGGUUGGCAACAUGAAUCUCUAACAAGCCGAUGAAACUGACUGUUGAUUACAUUUCUUGUGCUCUCAUCAUCACCAUCGUCUUCAUUUCACCCUCAAUAGUUUAACCAUUAAUUUACACAAGUAAAGUAAAUGGGUCUGGCUGUAUUACAAUCUAUUGAAUCCCUCAUCACCUUUACUUUAAUUGCUCUCUACCUUGAUUUGCUUUCACAGGCAGAGAGAAUGUAAAAUCACCAAGAAACAUCAUUUCAUCCUCUUUCAACCUAGAUAAAUCGUCUUAAUUUAGUUUAUAUUUUUUCUUUCUCUCUCCUAACUUUAUCUAUUACAUUUAGAUUACAUUAUUAUUAUUAGCAUUACAAUCAUCAUCAUCAUUAUUAUCAUGUUACAUAAAAGCAAAAUCGCCCAGACAAUUAUCACAUACAA